rnacentral:rRNA from 1 species
UACGUAGGGGGCAAGCGUUGUCCGGAUUUAUUGGGCGUAAAGAGCUCGUAGGCGGUUUGUUGCGUCGGCUGUGAAAUCCCGAGGCUCAACCUCGGGUCUGCAGUCGAUACGAGCAAACUAGAGUGUUGCAGGGGAGACUGGAAUUCCUGGUGUAGCGGUGAAAUGCGCAGAUAUCAGGAGGAACACCGGUGGCGAAGGCGGGAUCCUGGGCCAGUACUGACGCUGAGGAGCGAAAGCGUGGGGAGCAAACAGG